rnacentral:lncRNA from 1 species
CCUGCCACCACUUUGUAACAUCUUUUCCAUUGUGUUGAUUUUUCUGAUCCCUACAGAAAAUUGCACAAACUGUUCAUUAAAAACCUUGAUACUUAAACUGAGCAAUCCCCUGUGACUUGUCAGUACUGUAGUUAUUAGUUUUUCCUUAGCUAAGGUGACACAGUUAUGCCUGCCUUCCUUAGAGCCAAGAUCAAAGAAACUUCUGACCUGUGAAUUAUGAAAACAACUGCAGCUGCCUCAGAAAUUGUCAUAUUGCCUGGAGUUUCAAUUGUAAAUGGUAGCAGAAUAGCAGGCAAGAUAGAGUGGAGGAGGAAAGAGCACUGAUGGAAAGAGAAGAGGUUUCAUCUCCCAUAGUGCAGCAGUGCUUUGCGGGAGAAGUCCACCUCCUUCCAAAAAGAGAAUAUGGCAUAUUACUAGCAGUGCAAGUGAUCAAAAUGGAAUACAGAGCUGGAGCCUGACAAAUCUGGUCAACACAACCCACAACUCUUUCAUAAUCUGCAGCUCCAGAGAGGUAUAUGAUUGGACAACUCUGAGGACCAUUCUCCAGGCUGUCCCUAAGCCAAAGACACUAUUCACAUUGUGUUACUUAGGAUCAGAAAAUCUAGAUCUUAAUGCAGAUUUCCAUACAUGCUGAUAUGGAAAUAAAACUUUGGAAUAGCUGCA